CUGCUAGAUUUAACUUGCAAUGAUUCCAAUGCCCCCUUGGAUCAGCUGAAGGUGGAACAAAGAUAUGGUGAAACUGGUACACAUCAUAUGCCGAGUUCAGGAUAAAAUACGGUGUUCUAAUGUAUUUUAGUGCAUUCUGCGGGAAAAAACACUGAUAAGGAUGGUAUUGAGAAGCUAGGCAAGUUUCAUUCAGUUUCUUCUGAACCCCCUGUAAAGUGACCACGCCAUGGAAAAAGGGUUCAAUUGUGUUGUUGCCAGUUAUGUCCCGCCUGAAUUUGAG
rnacentral:misc_RNA from 1 species